rnacentral:SRP_RNA from 10 species
CCCGGGUUCACGUGAUUCUCCUGCCUCAGCUUCCCGAGAAGCUGGGACUACAGGCGUCCGCCAUCAUGCCCGGCUAAUUUUUAUAUUUUUAGUAGAGAUAGGGUUUCACCAGGUUGGCAAGGCUGGUUUCAAACUCCUGACACCAAGUGAUCCGCCUCGGUCCCCCAAAGUGCUUGGAUUAUUGGCAUGAGCCACCGCGCCUGGCCUGAACUUGGCUUUCUAAACUCCGUUUUGUGUUUCUGGUAUUUGGACUAUGGAAACUUCAGUUUCUCAUUUGACAGCUGGUUCCUUGCGAUGUUCUACCGACAGGGAGACAUAGAAAGAGAUGGAAAGAUGAAAAAGAAAAGACAUGCCCUGUUUGUUUGUUAUGCUUGUCAACAUUGCCUCUGCAAUAUCCCUUCAACUUUUUACUAAUUCCGAUUCUAGCUUUUUUCGUAUUCUCGGCACCAGCUGGACAAUGCCAUCGCCAUCCCCCCAGAGGCAUAUCCUGAUCAUCAUCUACUAGAACAGCAAGAGAAGAUAAAACUGGAUGUGCGAGUUCAAAGGUCUACAUUUUGCAAUACGAGUUUGGCAGCCAACAGAAGACAUGAUUCUUUCAAGACAAAAGAAGAAACCAGCAGCCUUUACGCAAUGAAUACUGACAAAUUUAGUAAGCAACAAGAGGGGCUGGAGGCAACGUUGGAGGAUCUGCAACAUCUGUCAGUGGCAUGCCUCCAGUUCUUCAGUUUUCUCUCAUCAGCUCCAGUCAUCUUGGCCAAUAGAAUCUUUUCAGCUCCAGGAUUAAUCAUGUUCAUGUAUCUGAGUAUAUUCUGACUGUGGGAAAUCAUAGUUAUAUCCAAGAAAGUGUUGCAUGACUUUGUAUCUUGUCUGGACCCCAAAUCGAUGUUAUCCAAUGUGGAUUUCUGGUUUCCAACAUUGUUCCUUUAUUGCCAUAAACCAGGGACUGGUAACCAUAAACCAAGAGCCUCCAAUUUUAUUCCUGUAACAUUGAAGUUAUUCCUUUCAAGUCUUCCCUAUCAUUUCUCACAGUGUGUGUUUUCCCUAUUUUUCUUCCUUUUACUUUUCCUCAGCCCAAGCAAAUAAGCAGUUUUCUAUUCUCUAUUGAAAAUAUUGAGUACCAAAAAUAUGACAUAUAUUUUAAUAUUCAUUUUUAUAUAGUAUCUUAUUUAACCAUCUCAACUCUACUGUGAUAUAUACAGUUUGUUCUCAUUAAACAGUUGAGAAAUAUCCUCAGUGAAAUGAAGCAAAUAAUCCAAGACCAUACUGCUAUAUAACGUUAGAACUUGGAUAUUUAGAUCUCUAAACUUGAAUAUAGAUAGAUAGAUAGACAGAUAGACAUAUAUCUCCACUAUAUGUAUAUGUAUGUGCGUGUAUAUAUAUACAUGUAUAUAUACAUAUAUAUUAUGUAUACACACACACACACACACACACACACACACAUAUAUAUAUAUACAACUGAUUCCAAAGCUUUGCUCUUGAAAUAUACAGUUAUGAGGCAAUUACCUAAACUUACUUUUCUCCCCGAUUUAGACAAAUUGCUUUAAUUUUUAUUGAGAUCUCUAUGCUUUUGGAUAUAUGUGGCCUAACACAUCUCAGAGAGGCAGCCUCCAUAGCUCAUCUAUUCCCUCAGUAACUAUGCUGCUGAAAUCUUGAACUUCCAGACGUCUCCAUCAGAACCCAGAGCACACAUACACACACAAAUUGUAUGCUUAGUCUCAGUCUAUGUCCUAUUCAUGGAACAGCCUCUGAGCCAUUGUUGCUACCUAGAGCCUUCUGACAUAUUUAAGUCUUGCACUUCGUCAGCUGGUUGACAUACCACACCUCACUUCCUAUGUCAUUUAACAUCUUCCCUUCCCAGGUAGCAAACUCCCUCUUGCUACUCCUUGUUCCUCUUAUUAUUAAAGAAAUAAAUUGAAUUAUUUUAUAGGAUUUACAGUGAAAUAUUUGUAUUUCCUAUAAUGUAAAUACUGUGUACACUUUCCUUUUCUUUUUUUUAAAUGUUAAUAUUGACAGUGGGUUCAAGUGUUAGCCUAAUCUUCUGUAGCAUUUCUCAUAAUAAUUUAGGCAGCCAUUGAUAAUAAUUUUUUGUGUCUACAAUUUCAUUCGUGGGUGCAAUAUGAUGAUAUUACAAUUCUAUUAACCUUUUUUCUUUAUCAGCUAGAAUUCUUAAUUUAAAAAAUAUUUCAUCAAUUAUUUACUUGCAGUUGUAUAAGAAUAUUAGGAUGAAUGCUAGCGUCCUUCCCUUUCUUUCUCAGUUUACAGAAUGCAUUGGUUACAUAGUAUUCACCAAAUGUGAUUAAAGAAUUUUUAUUAAGUUAAAAAAUUAUCAUUUUCAUCACUAAUUAAUGUCAAUCAAUUUUUCAGUAACUGCCACUUGUUUUGCUACUAAAAUUGCCUUGUCCUAACAAUAGAAUCCUCUUCCAAUUGUACCAUGAGAUCUUUUGAUAUGUAGUCUUUGAAAUCUUCCUUAAUUUUUUAGGAUAAUAGGUUGUUUCAGACCAAUUCUGUACAUUUUUUGCACCAUAUCUAGAUUUAAUCAGUUAUUCGGGGUCCCCUGAUUUAUUUGAAUGUAAAAUGCUAUAUAGAAGGCUACCGUCUGCUUGCCAAGGUGGUCAGUGUUACUGGGUUUGUCAUUGUUUUUAGGCUUUUUAGAAUAUGAGGCUUGGAAACAUAUAUGAAUAUAAAAUAUAAAAUAUUUUAUGCAUAUAAUAAUAUUUUUAUUGCCAAAGCCAAAGUAACAAAAUAUUACCACCAAUAGACGUACUAUGGAUAUUGAAAUAGUGAUAUUUAGUGGUGAGAUUUUUUUUUUCCUUUUGAACUAAACACUUUUACUCACUUCUCCAAAGUCAAUCUUUAAAUCAUUCAUUUCCAACAUGGGAAAAAUUAUAUUUCUUUUCAUUUAUAUGACAGUGUUAUGAUGAUACAUUUAUAAAAAUGUGAAAAUCUUUUAAAAAUUAAAAUGUUGCAGUCAGCUUUCAAUUAUCAGAAAGCAGCUUCUUCUUUGGUAUAUCCUAGCUUUGAAAAUUAUUGAGGAAACUGCUAAAUGAUUUAUUUUAUUGGCAAAACUUUCUGAAAAUGGCACAGAACAAAAUAAACAAAAUCUUUAAACAGAGUUAGUAACCAAGGAGUGUGCACAACAACCAAAGUCAGUGCAAUCACUGACAUGCCCUUUGUCCAAGCGCAAAGGGAAUAAUUAAGGUGCGUAUUGAAUUUCACUGCAAAAAGCAGAAUACUAUUUUGUGCAUCAGACUGCAGCAUAAGACUCAGGACCUGUAAAGACCACGCGGAACAACGGGACCAUCUGUAGAUGAGUGUUUGAUGACAUUUUUGAAGCAUCUGUGAUGACAUGGGUCAUUCACCCAGACUUCAACUAUCUCACACCCUCACUGGGGUUCAGCCGAGUAACUUUGAAGCAACCCAAUGAAUAGCUACUAUUGACAUUUUCUAAAAAUAAGACGUGAGAAAGGAAAGUUUCAACAAACUUCUUCAAUUCAUUUCAACUCAAUAAACAUUUUUGAAGGCUCACUAAUGUGCACUGUCUUUGCUGCUCUAUGCAUCUCUCUUAUCUAUUAAAUGUUCAUCCUGCUUCAGAUCCCUGUCAGAUCUAUCCUUCAUGCUGCUGAUACAAGAAUCUUUUUCAAACAUACUCCUGAUAGGGUCACUUCUCCACCUAAAAUCCCCAGGAUAAAAUUCAAUAACUUUAGCAAGAUAUAAAAUGUCAUUAAUGAUUUGUUCUCUCCAUCUCCUCACAUCUCUCCUACUUAUCCCUAUGCCCCUGACAUGCAAAGCUAUUUAUAUGUCUUCUGGUGCUAUUCUCACCUGAGUCAUUUGUGCAAUGCUUAUGUUAUAUCUUCUUCCUGAAAUGGUCAUUCUGUCUUAAAUGGACUAUAUACUAAUUGGCUUUUUGAUAACUCACACAUUCCCUUCUACACAGAGUCUUCCAUGAUUUUUCAAGCUUGCUUAAAUAUCUAUGGGUUCUUUCCAUUAGAAUGUGAGUGAUUAAAAGGCAAGAGGCUGGCUCAUAAGUCUCUUUGUAUAACCACCCCCCACUUCUGCAACAGUACCAGGUAAAAUAAAAUGUAAAAAAAAAAAAAGAUGUUUUAUUUAAUUACUCAACCAACCCUACAAUAUAUCAAGCAGCUGCCAUUCCAUUAGAGCCCUGAUAUCUAAAAGACUUACUCAGCAUCUCUGUUUCAAGGGGGUGUGAAAGAGAACAUUUCUUAGUAGAAAGCUUUGUAACUAUUUGAAAAGCAGACAAAGAAUGUGAAGCAUGAAAUGGAUUACAUGGAGUAGUUUUAUACUUGUCAGAAAGGAGAUUGAUUAGCUUUCUGAAUCUUCAGAGUGGCAGUUCAUUAUUUUAUUGGUUUCUAGUAUAAGCGAGAUAUCCAAAUUUAAAAGCAAAUAACAAAGGGAUUCCAUAAAUAGAUAAAUAUUAUAUUUGCAUUGACAGUCGUCAGUGCCUCAUUGCUUUUGAGGGUGCCAAGACAUAAUCCAGGCUGUCUUCCUACUCAAGCCACUGUAAAAGCACUAGACCUGGAGAUGUAGGUGACUUCCAAAGUGAAAGAGCUGAAUAGUAGCAGAAACUGAAAACAUGCCUCGGUUUCUGAACUAUUAAUCCAAUGUGCAUUUUACUAGAGUAAGGGCUAUCAAAUUAUAAAUAAUAUGUAUCACAGUAAGACACCUUGUUUAAAUAUUUUUAGUUUCACAAUAAAAAAAUUUAUUGUUGACCAGCAUUUAAUUUUAGACUCAAAAUUCAUAAAAAAUAUUAAGUUAUACUUUUCUUUUUUGCAUAUAUAUUAACACCUAUUUUUAAUUUUUUUCAAAUUGAAUUAUGUUUUAGACUUUAUAUGAACAGCUUUAUAGUUCUUUACAAGAGGUGGUCUAUUUGAUGGUGCAGUUAAGAAAGUUGCAUUUAUCUUGCAGCACUGAGUAAGGUUAGUAUGUGACAAAUAAAAUUAAUGAGGGGAGAAUGGAGCAACCAACUUUUUAUAUAAGAACAUAGGAUUAUUUGAAGAGAAGUAAAAAAUCAAAUACAAAUGAGCAAAAAUGUCACAAUAAAGAGGAUUUGAGAAAUAGGAAAAUAGAAGUGAGUUAGAGGCAUUACAAUGUUCAAUACUGCUUAUAAAUAUUAAUUAGAAAAGAUACCAAAAAGAUAGUGAUAUAUACUAUGUCCUGAAUGUUUGUGUUCCCUCAAAUUUCAUAUUAAGUAUAAACUAGGAACCAAAACUCAUAUAGGUAUGGUAUUAGGAGGUGAGGUCUUUUGCGAGGUGAAAGAACCUCUUAUGUAAUUAGUGCACUUAUAAAAUAGGCCCAAGAAAGCUCCUUUGUUCCUUCUACCUCAUCAGGACACAGGCAGAAGACACUAUCUGUGAGAUAAUGGGCCCUCAGCAGACAGUGCACGUGCCUGCGCCUUGAUUUUGGAUUUCCCAGCUCCCAGGACUGUGAGAAAUACAUUUCUGUUGUUUAUAAGCCACCCAGUCACCCAGGUGAUGUAUUUUGUUACAGCAGCUUGACUAGACUGCAACAACCUGGUAAAAACAUAAUAAAUUAUGUUUAUCUCUGAAGGUAUUUUAAAAAAUACUAAUUCAAUGAUUAGUUUCUAAAAUAUCAAACAAUGUUAAAUGUUAACACUGUGUAUAAAAAGUGGUUGUAGAAUCCCUGAAGGAUUUUAGUAAAUUUUAGAUUAACCCUCAUAUGCCUAAAAUGCAGAGAUGCAAACACGAUUGUAGGAUGUAGGCAAAACUGUGAGACCUCUCACACAUAAUUCUUUACUAAGUAGACAUAGGUAAAGGAAAUAAGCUGACAGAACAAUAAUAUAAUAUAUAAUAAAUAUAAUUAAAGUGAUGUUUCAAACUUAUAAAGAUAUUUGCAUGAUUUCAUAGAUUAUUGGAUAUAUGUAAUUUAAGAAAAAAGCCACAAACACAUUAUCUGAGAAUGUCCUUCAAUGUUAGUUCCUUUCUUUUUUAACUAGCUAUUAAUAUCUAUAUAUUUGAGGGCUUUUUUCUCCACUUGUAAUUAUGCUAUUUUUAUGAUUUAAUUCUAUCAUAAAAAUGGCCUAUAAAAUAAUAUUAUUCUAUAUUGUGCCCCAUUUAGGAUGUGGCUCUAAUGGCUCUCCUGUCCCUUCACCUUGCAAAAUAAUCAGUAAAUUUAAAAUCACUUUCUCUCUUCCAUUACAGAGUUUUCCCCAUCUUUGAAGCACUCACACAAGAUGUCUUAAAUUAGCAAUUCUCUUCCCAUGAUUUCUGUGUCUGCUGGUUUGUUACAAAGGCUGCUAAUUCUUCUUUGCUCCCUUCCAUUUAUGUUUAAUAAUAUCCCUAAUGUCAAGCAAUUGCUCCCAAUAGAAGGAUGUUUUAUUCACUAUACUCUAUUAUGAAGUAAUAUAAAAAAUCUUAUUAAUUUGAACUAAUAAUUUCCCUUUCUUUAGUAUGUUGGAAAAUGACAUUAAAACUAGAUUUUUAAAAUAUUACAGUUAAUAUCAUAUACCUCAUAAUAAAUUUCCUGAAUUUAAUUAAUAUGAUAUUGAAAGACUGAAGUAUGCUUUAAUAUUAAAAAUUCCCUUUAGCAAGAUCUACUUCAUUUUGAAGUCAUGUUCUGGGAUUGAGCAGAUGUCAGAUGUAAAAAUUCAUGAAUCUUCAAAUGUUUAAGUUAACUUUGCAGGAUAAAUAAAAAUAAAAAGUUUCCAUUUGACAUUUUAAAGAAAUAUGCAACACUAAAAAAUAUUUUUCCCAUGUAGAUAUAAAAGUUACUCUAUUUUUGGAGAGACAGAUUCAGUACUAGUUGCAUGAUUAUACUUUUCCUCAAUUUUUAUACUUACUUUUCUGCAUUGAAAUUAAUUUAAAAAAUUUUAUAAAUGAGAAAUUUACCAAGGCUAUCAUGAGAAAUUUGGUCUUUUUGGAAAGAGGUGUUUAUGACUUUUAGUUGGAGUGAUGUAGAAACUGUACAGUUGUAAACAUAUUUUUUUCAAAAUUUGAAUGCAAUAAAUAUGUUAUAAAUGAGAUACAUUAUCCACUAUGUUUAAAUAAGAUGAUAUAAUAAAAAAUUAACAUAUCCAUGCAUC